rnacentral:rRNA from 1 species
UUGGAUUAAUACCGCAUAAUAUGUUUGAAUCGCAUGGUUUAAAUAUUAAAACUCCGGUGGUAUAAGAUGGGCAUGCGUAGCAUUAGUUAGUUGGUGAGGUAACGGCUCACCAAGACAGUGAUGCUUAGGGGGUCUGAGAGGAUAGUCCCCCACACUGGUACUGAGACACGGACCAGACUCCUACGGGAGGCAGCAGUGAGGAAUAUUGGUCAAUGGACGCAAGUCUGAACCAGCCAUGUCGCGUGCAGGAUGACGGCCCUAUGGGUUGUAAACUGCUUUUUUACAGGAAUAAUUGUCGCUACGUGUAGUGAUUUGAAUGUACUGUAUGAAUAAGGAUCGGCUAACUCCGUGCCAGCAGCCGCGGUAAUACGGAGGAUUCGAGCGUUAUCCGGAUUUAUUGGGUUUAAAGGGUCCGUAGGCGGUCUUUUAAGUCAGUGGUGAAAUCCCAGAGCUCAACUCUGGAACUGCCAUUGAAACUGAAAGACUUGAAUAUGGAUGAGGUAGGCGGAAUACGUUAUGUAGCGGUGAAAUGCAUAGAUAUAACGUAGAACACCAAUUGCGAAGGCAGCUUACUAAGCCAUUAUUGACGCUGAUGGACGAAAGCGUGGGGAGCGAACAGGAUUAGAUACCCUGGUAGUCCACGCCGUAAACGAUGAUUACUCGUUGUGCACAAUACAUCGUGCGUGACUGAGCGAAAGCAUUAAGUAAUCCACCUGGGGAGUACGUUCGCAAGAAUGAAACUCAAAGGAAUUGACGGGGGCCCGCACAAGCGGAGGAACAUGUGGUUUAAUUCGAUGAUACGCGAGGAACCUUACCUGGACUUAAAUGUAGAUUGAUCGGCUUAGAAAUAGGUUUUUCCUUCGGGACAAUUUACAAGGUGCUGCAUGGUUGUCGUCAGCUCGUGCCGUGAGGUGUCGGGUUAAGUCCCAUAACGAGCGCAACCCCUAUCGUUAGUUGCUAGCAGGUAAUGCUGAGGACUCUAGCGAGACUGCCACCGUAAGGUGAGAGGAAGGAGGGGAUGACGUCAAAUCAGCACGGCCCUUACGUCCAGGGCUACACACGUGUUACAAUGGCCGAUACAAAGGGCAGCUACCUGGUGACAGGAUGCUAAUCUCUAAAGUCGGUCUCAGUUCGGAUCGGAGUCUGCAACUCGACUCCGUGAAGUUGGAUUCGCUAGUAAUCGUAUAUCAGCAAUGAUACGGUGAAUACGUUCCCGGGCCUUGUACACACCGCCCGUCAAGCCAUGGAAGCCGGGAGUGCCUGAAGUACGUUACCGCAAGGAGCGUCCUAGGGUAAAAUUGGUAACUGGGGCUAAGUCGGAACAAGGUA